rnacentral:tRNA from 1 species
GCUCACGUAGCUUAACCAAAGCAUAACCCUGAAGAAGUUAAGAUGGGCCCUGAAAAGCUCCGUAGGCA